rnacentral:rRNA from 1 species
UGGCGGUGAUAGCGCGGUGGUCCCACCUGACCCCAUGCCGAACUCAGAAGUGAAACGCCGUAGCGCCGAUGGUAGUGUGGGGUCUCCCCAUGCGAGAGUAGGGAACUGCCAGGCU